UACGUAGGGGGCAAGCGUUGUCCGGAAUCAUUGGGCGUAAAGCGCGCGUGAGCGGCCCGAUAAGUCUGCUGUGAAAGUCCAGGGCUCAACCCUGGAAUGCCGGUGGAUACUGUCGGGCUAGAGUUCGGAAGAGGCAAGUGGAAUUCCUGGUGUAGCGGUGGAAUGCGCAGAUAUCAGGAGGAACACCUAUAGCGAAGGCAGCUUGCUGGGACGACACUGACGCUGAGGCGCGAAAGCGUGGGGAGCGAACAGG
rnacentral:rRNA from 1 species